UUGAGUUUGUCUUUAAAGAUAACAUUGUUUCAGCAGCAGCAUUUUUAGCUGGAAAUAAUGGGAAGAAGAAGAGAAAAACGAGGAUAGAAUUAGGGCACAACACGAUACCUGGUUGUAUUUUUAUAGACCAUUUAAAAUAAAUAAAUAAUAAACAUUAAAUCCACUUGGAAACUCCAAUAGUUGACAAAAUAGAAGAAAAAAUAUCUACUUAUAUUGCCACGUCAGCUUCCUUUAUUCAAAUCUAACGCUAGGGACCAAAAGUGUUGAAGGAAAA
rnacentral:lncRNA from 1 species